GGCAGAGGUGCCAAGCGUUAGGCGGAAUCACUGGGCUUAAAGCGUGUGUAGGCGGAUCGUUAAGUACCUUGUGAAAUCCCACGGCUCAACCGUGGAACUGCUGGGUAUACUGGCGGUCUUGAGCCACCUAGGGGCAACUGGAACAAGCGGUGGAGCGGUGAAAUGCGUAGAUAUCGCUUGGAACGCCAACGGUGAAAACAGGUUGCUGGGGGUGUGCUGACGCUGAGACACGAAAGCCAGGGGAGCGAACGGGG
rnacentral:rRNA from 1 species